GUGCGAGACCGAUAGCGAACAAGUACCGUGAGGGAAAGAUGAAAAGAACUUUGAAAAGAGAGUUAAAGAGUACCUGAAACUGCUAAUAGGGAAUCGAUUCGUUUCUAGUGUCUAUGAUCUACGACAUAUUUCAUUGUCGAGUGAGUGAGUGUGGCGCUAUGGAAGUGGCUUCGGUCGCGCCUUGUGUUAUUCUUCGUUUGCUUGAUGGUGCCCUGUGUUGUAGUGGGACGUCAGAGUCAGUUUGUAUGCUGCGGGAAAUGGCCGUCGAGAAGAUAGGUUGGAUGCUUGCGUUCAUCUGUUAUAACNUUGGCGGACGAGUAGUCGUGGUUGAGACUGAGGUGCCUAC
rnacentral:rRNA from 2 species